AGUGAACGCUGGCGGUAGGCCUAACACAUGCAAGUCGAACGGCAGCACAGUAAGAGCUUGCUCUUACGGGUGGCGAGUGGCGGACGGGUGAGGAAUACAUCGGAAUCUACUUUUUCGUGGGGGAUAACGUAGGGAAACUUACGCUAAUACCGCAUACGACCUACGGGUGAAAGCAGGGGAUCUUCGGACCUUGCGCGAUUGAAUGAGCCGAUGUCGGAUUAGCUAGUUGGCGGGGUAAAGGCCCACCAAGGCGACGAUCCGUAGCUGGUCUGAGAGGAUGAACGGCCACACUGGAACUGAGACACGGUCCAGACUCCUACGGGAGGCAGCAGUGGGGAAUAUUGGACAAUGGGCGCAAGCCUGAUCCAGCCAUACCGCGUGGGUGAAGAAGGCCUUCGGGUUGUAAAGCCCUUUUGUUGGGAAAGAGAAGCAGCAGGUUAAUACCCCGCUGUUCUGACGGUACCCAAAGAAUAAGCACCGGCUAACUUCGUG
rnacentral:rRNA from 1 species